UACGAAGGUGGCAAGCGUUACUCGGAAUUACUAGGCGUAAAGCGCAGGUAGGCGGUUUGAUAAGUCUUUUGUGAAAGCUCCCGGCUUAACUGGGAGAGGUCAAGAGAAACUGUCAGGCUAGAGUGUGGUAGAGGUAACUGGAAUUCCCGGUGUAGCGGUGAAAUGCGUAGAUAUCGGGAGGAAUACCUAUGGCGAAAGCAGGUUACUGGGCCAUCACUGACGCUGAGCUGCGAAAGCUAGGGGAGCAAACAGG
rnacentral:rRNA from 1 species